GUCAAAGAUCGUACGCAAAUGUUGCUGAUCAGGCUUUAACUUCAAGGAAAAGGAAAACGAAACAAUACGAAAAGGGACCGGUUAUGUUCGAACUCCAAUAAGUAUCCCAUUCAAAACCAACAUGUAAAUUAAGCAUCACUAUCUUCAGGCAUAAAAACACUGCAAUUUCUUAAGACUGUUACACAACAAAAAUUACUCGAAUAUUAUUAAAAAGAAAUCAAAACAAACAAACAAAAGCGGAGAAAUAUUUGACCACCAAACAAUCGUCAAUUUCUUCAGCCAUAAAAAUAGACCUUCUUAGAUUGUUUUAUUCAACAAAACACUAGUAAAAUUCUAUAAAAAAAAAACAAAAAAAAAGAGCAAAACCUUCAUAGAUAUUUAGGCAACAAUCAAUAAUAAAUAAAAUAAGAGGAAACCAAAUAAAAAGUGGAGAUUAAGAACAGAAAACUCUGCAAUCAAACAAAAUAUAAUCUAGACAAAGAAUUUAGAGAGAGAGAGAGAGAGAGAGAGAGAGAGAGAGAGAGAGAGAGAGAGAGAGAGGAGUGAGGGGGCUUACCAUCCUUGAAGGCAACCGUCACUUUCUUUCCUAGGAGGGGGCUGCUGAGCAUACUGGGGAGCAUAGCCCUGCUGUGGUGGGUACCCCUGUGGAGGGUAACCCUGUUGAGGUGGAUACCCCUGCUCAGGGUAACCCUGUGGAGGGUAAGCAUCCUUUGGAGGAUACCCUGUCCAACGAUAAAUAAUUUGAGUACUAAAUUCAAAGAACCAAAACAAAACAGACCAAAAUUGACCCAAAAGGUAAAAUAGACAUGAUUCAUACCUUGUGGAGGAGGAACACCAACUGGAGCUUGCUGCUGAUUGUAGUAACUCAUCUUCUACAACAAAAACAAAAAAGACUGGAUAUUUUUAGGACUCG
rnacentral:lncRNA from 1 species